rnacentral:rRNA from 1 species
CAGCAGCCACGGGAAUACGUAGGGUGCGAGCGUUAAUCGGGAUUACUGGGCGUAAAGCGUGCGCAGGCGGUUCGUUAAGACAGAUGUGAAAUCCCCGGGCUUAACCUGGGAACUGCAUUUGUGACUGGCGAGCUAGAGUAUGGCAGAGGGGGGUAGAAUUCCACGUGUAGCAGUGAAAUGCGUAGAGAUGUGGAGGAAUACCGAUGGCGAAGGCAGCCCCCUGGGCCAAUACUGACGCUCAUGCACGAAAGCGUGGGGAGCAAACAGGAUUAGAUACCCGCGUAGUCCCUGUCUCUUAUAC